UUCAAGGGAUAGAGAUCAGGCCAAUCAGAGAGUGAAAAUGAUGGUACUUCAUAUCUAUUUUGCAAUGAAAACGUCUGAAUGCGGACAUUCGCAUGAUUACUAGAUAGAGUGAGAGAUCUAUGAGAUGGGAUAGAGCUACCUCUCUUACUAUUAUGUACAUCAGUGGAAAAAGAAAAUUUCCUGUGAGAUUAUAUAUCUGAACAAAGUAUCAUUAUCUUCUCUUCCUUUGCCUUAUUUACUACCAAGUUACCAAUUUUUGUUAAAGGAAUGCAUAGAAACUAUCUUCUGAGAUUAUAAUGUUGAAUUCUAUAUCUGUAUCGCUCUGAAUUGACCGGAGAAUGCAACAUACGUUGGUUGUACUUGUAGUGGUAGGACAACUUGAAGAUGAUAGAGGGGGCCAUAAUUAAGGACGAUCAAUUUCUUUAAUUUACUUUAUGAAAUUAAGUUUGUCCACUAGUUUUAUUGACACAAAAAUAAAAAGGAAAAAAAGAUAAAACUUAUAAGUAGAAAAUGUGCGUAUGAGAAAAAGGAAAAAUUGUGAUUAUUUGAAAAUGAGAAUGAGAAGAGAAGAAAGUUAAAAAAGGAAGAGAUAAAGAAAAAAGAGAGAAUAAUGUUUUUUAAUAGAUAGAUUUAUAUUCUUUUUAGAUUAAAUUAUUUAUUUUAAAAAAUUAAAAUAGUAGGUGUUUAUGGUGAAGACUCAAGAGUUUGACGAGCCUAAAAUUAUUAAAUAUAAUAG
rnacentral:misc_RNA from 1 species